GAUGAACGCUGGCGGCGUGCCUAAUACAUGCGAGUCGAGUGAACAGACGAGGAGCUUGCUCCUCUGACGUUAGCGGCGGACGGGUGAGUAACACGUGGAUAACCUACCUAUAAGACUGGGAUAACUUCGGGAAACCGGAGCUAAUACCGGAUAAUAUAUUGAACCGCAUGGUUCAAUAGUGAAAGACGGUUUUGCUGUCACUUAUAGAUGGAUCCGCGCCGCAUUAGCUAGUUGGUAAGGUAACGGCUUACCAAGGCAACGAUGCGUAGCCGACCUGAGAGGGUGAUCGGCCACACUGGAACUGAGACACGGUCCAGACUCCUACGGGAGGCAGCAGUAGGGAAUCUUCCGCAAUGGACGAAAGCCUGACGGAGCAACGCCGCGUGAGUGAUGAAGGUCUUCGGAUCGUAAAACUCUGUUAUUAGGGAAGAACAAAUGUGUAAGUAACUAUGCACGUCUUGACGGUACCUAAUCAGAAAGCCACGGCUAACUACGUG
rnacentral:rRNA from 1 species